rnacentral:lncRNA from 1 species
AUCGCGCUAGCUUUGAUCCCCCAUUGCAAACCCUUAAUUCUUAAAGGAUAAGCUUGAUAAAUUCUCUUGAAUUUGAGCUUGAAUCUCCACUAUUUUGGAAUUAAAUUCUCCAGGAAUCCAUUGCUUCUAAACCGUUCAAUCCUUCUCCUGCAAGCAAGUGGAGUGAGUCCAAGCACAAGCAAGAUCAAGACUUGUUGAAUCCAGACCUCCAUUGAAGGUAUUUU